CCGCGGUUUGCAGGGGGGUUCGGGGAACGCGAGAGCAAACCGCGGGGAAGCAGGUCUCCUUCCCCGGUUUGCUCCCGCGUUCCCCGAACCCCCGAGCAAGCAGGUCUCCUUCCCCGGUUUGCUCCCGCGUUCCCCGAACCCCCGAGCAAGCAGGUCUCCUUCCCUGUGGUUUGCAGGGGGGUUCGGGGAACGCGAGAG